CCUACGGGGCGCAGCAGUGAGGAAUAUUGGUCAAUGGACGAGAGUCUGAACCAGCCAAGUAGCGUGAAGAAUGACUGCCCUAUGGGUUGUAAACUUCUUUUAUAUGGGAAUAAAACGUUCCACGUGUGGGAUUUUGUAUGUACCAUAUGAAUAAGGAUCGGCUAACUCCGUGCCAGCAGCCGCGAUAAUACGGAGGAUCCGAGCGUUAUCCGGAUUUAUUGGGUUUAAAGGGAGCGUAGGUGGAUUGUUAAGUCAGUUGUGAAAGUUUGCGGCUCAACCGUAAAAUUGCAGUUGAAACUGGCAGUCUUGAGUACAGUAGAGGUGGGCGGAAUUCGUGGUGUAGCGGUGAAAUGCUUAGAUAUCACGAAGAACUCCGAUUGCGAACGCAGUUCACUGGACUGCAACUGACACUGAGGCUCGAAAGUGUGGGUAUCAAACAGGAUUAGAUACCCGUGUAGUC
rnacentral:rRNA from 1 species